GGCAGGCGCAGCAAUGCGCUGAGAGCGGCGGACUGGUGAGUAACGCGUGGGUAAUCUACCUUUGGCAUGGGGAUAGCCACUAGAAAUAGUGGGUAAUACCGAAUACGUUCCCUGGGGGGAGGUUUCAGGGAAGAAAGGGUGCUACGGCACCGGCCAAAGAUGAGCUCGCGUCCCAUUAGCUAGUUGGUGAGGUAAUGGCCCACCAAGGCGAUGAUGGGUAGCCGGCCUGAGAGGGUGUACGGCCACACUGGGACUGAGAUACGGCCCAGACUCCUACGGGAGGCAGCAGCUAAGAAUAUUCCGCAAUGGACGAAAGUCUGACGGAGCGACGCCGCGUGGAUGAUGAAGGCCGAAAGGUUGUAAAGUCCUUUUGCUGGGGAAGAAUAAGUGUGGGAGGGAAUGCCCGCAUGAUGACAUGAACCGGCGAAUAAGCCCCGGCCAACUACGUGCCAGCAGCCGCGGUAACACGUAGGGGGCGAGCGUUGUUCGGAAUUACUGGGCGUAAAGGGCAUGUAGGCGGUCUGGUAAGCCUGGCGUGA
rnacentral:rRNA from 1 species